UCCAAGGAGGGCAGUAGAUGGCAACCGUACAUCUUCAAAGAACAAUUCUGAAGUAUCCUAAGGGUAUAAUUAAGUACAGAAUUAUCUCACUUAAAUCUCCUAACACAUGAAUGAGGUAUUAUUUCCAUUUAAGGACAACCAGAACAAGAACAAAACAAACCAAGAGCCCAGUUGGAGUGAAAUUCAAAAUAUGCUGAUUCACUUCUACUGCUGAACAACAGAAAGAGAUACAGCUGGAUAAAUGGAAUAAAUCUCUCUUACCAUUUC